GUACCCUCAUCUGCUGCUGCUGUCGGGGUCAAUCUGUUGGAGAUAGUCAUACUGAGAGACAGGACAUGAGCAGAGACCUUUUUUUGGAUUUAGAACCUUUUUUCUACAUGGAAGAUUCAGGAAUCAGUGAAGCUAUGUCCUCUACCCCAAGAAAAAGGAAAGUAAGAUUCUUACCUGAUGAGACCGUGCUUAUAUCCCAGACCCGAAGCCCUUCUUUCUGACCUCCAAAGGCGUAAAUAAAUGGCAAAUCGGGGCAACAGGAAGAACAGAACAGAACUCCCUAGAAGAAAAAACGGAAGGUCAGUGCUUUCAGUCCUUCCAGAAAUUCUUGCUCCUAUACACGAACUUAUCUGAAUCCGCUCACUCAGAACCAGCUCAUCAGUAUCUCUUUUUAACAAGCUUGUAAAGUAGUUCAGAGUCCAAGUGGCAAGACGAAGCCACAAGUUCAGCAUGAUGGCCGUUCUGCAAGGAUGUGUGUACUCUGACUACUCAGGUCUCUAAUCUGCUCAGUAUUCCCAGAAACUUUUAUUUUCCCUUUUAAGCAAUGAUGUUACUACAGGUCACCAUUAAGUAAUUUUUAAAAUUAUUUUUUAAAUUUCUAAAUUUUUUAAUGCUUAUUACUAGGUACACGAAAAAGUAUCAAAAUCACUAAGAUAAUCACCAUUUAUGUUUCAGGAUAAGAUAUUCUAGAUUUAAAUAUAAACAUUUAAGCAUUUAAAUAUAAGCAUGGGAUAGUACUAUAUAACUGUGUCUGUAACUUACUUUCCCCACAAAUAUUUGUACAUACAAACAGAUGUGCAGUGUUCUACAUCUGCAAUUAUAUUAUCUCAGUGCCUGGCAUAUAGUAGGUGCUCAAUAACUAUUUGCUAAAUGAAUUCACGUUUAAAAAAGAAAACCAUCGUUAUUCUGCUUGAGUCCUAGAAAAUCCUCUUGCCCACCCUUCUUACCAAACAACUGUUAAUGUUAAUCAUGUCAGUUGGGAAAGGAAUCAGACAGUCACUGAUUUUCCUCUAAAACUGUCCUAAGUCAUAAACCUCCCAUCAAAUUUGACUAAGCUCAAGAUGAACUUCAACAAAUAUUCCUAGGGAAAGACGUCAAUAUAGGUCAGAAACAGAAAAAAGCAGAAAAGAAAGGUGCCCAGAGAUUCUUACCAUUUUCAUGUCCCUAGAGUGAACCAGACUUGGCCUGUCUCCUAAUAUGUCCCAGAUCUUCACAUAUUUGUCAGCUGAUGCUGUCACAAGACAACCCUUGAUUUGACUACUUAGAUCAAGACCUAAAAGAAGAUAAGAUUAGUUGUGACUCUGAAAUAUAGACUUUAAUUCAUCAUAAGUUAAUAAAAUGAAAGACUAUUUGUGCUCACCAGAGAUUUCAUCAUUGUGUGCAUUAAGUGUAAAAAUUGGCUUAUCUGAACGUGCAUCCAAGUUAUAUACAAAGCCAUCAUCUGUACUAGCCUGGAAAGAGUAAAAAGGGGCAAGAUCAUGCUACAUGGCAAUAUCAUUUAGCAAUGGGUAAGCAGUAUAAAUUAUAGUGAAAACCAGCUAUUUACCUGAGGAGCUUAUUAAAAAAUACUGUGAAAGGGCAGCCCUGGUGGUGCAGCGGUUUAGCACCACCUGCAGCCCAGGGUGUGAUCCUGGAGACCCGGGAUCGAG